rnacentral:rRNA from 1 species
UACGGAGGGUGCAAGCGUUGUCCGGAUUUAUUGGGUUUAAAGGGUGCGUAGGCGGUCAAUUAAGUCAGUGGUGAAAUCCUCCAGCUCAACUGGAGAACUGCCAUUGAUACUGGUUGACUUGAGUACAGACGAGGUAGGCGGAAUUUAUGGUGUAGCGGUGAAAUGCAUAGAUACCAUAAAGAACACCGAUAGCGAAGGCAGCUUACUAGACUGUAACUGACGCUGAGGCACGAAAGCGUGGGGAGCGAACAGG